GUGACCUUAAAGUGGUGGGGUGUUUUUCAGGAAUAUGGAGGUUUGGGAAAGGAGGACAUUUCCAAGACGGUGAUCAGCCUGGAAGUUGUUCUCUUUUUGCCACAACCUGGGAAUGUUUAUAAAACCCUGCCCAAGGCACACAUAGAAGGUGUCGAAGUCAUUCCCUGAAUAUCAGCAGGCAGCUGCAAUGGGAAAUCUGCAGGGUGUUUACUGGAAGAGGGGUAAACUUCCUUAAAUUCUAGCACCGAUCACAUCUGUAGGAAGGCACAGGAACACGGGAAUGGAGACUGCGUAUUUCCCUUGGCCGUAUCAGGUUUACGGAUGAAUGAACCUUCGUGGAAAAGGAUUAACAGCUAACACCAGCGUCACAUUGUGAUCCACGGGCCAGCAGCAUGGGCAUCCUCUGGGACUGGUUACAACGGCAGACACUCAGGCUCCCACUCCAGACCCAUGGAAUCAGAACCUGCAUUUUUAACAAGUUUCCUAGGGGGAUUCGUGUGUCCCUGCGUUUGCACCAAACAAUCCUGUAAGGUGAGUAUAGGCCAUCCUGAGGCCUGGAUCUCCUCUGGGCCUGCCAGUUUGGCUUACCCUGGGCUCCUGAGCUCAAGUCUUAAAAUGAACCCUUUAUUACUUGAAAUGAGCUAAGUGAAUCCUUGGUCCCUGCAACACAAAACUCAGACCACCAAGUAUGGGGCACCUCUGUCAUUUCAGCACAACCCCUCACUCCACCCGAAGUUCUAGACUCACUCUGUGGAUGUCAUUGCCCAGGACUAUUCACCACCUUAUUCAUAUAAGGUGGGUUUUCUUUCCCUUUUUUUUUUUUUUUUUUCCUGCUAAGCCUUGUUUAUCCCUAUUUAAAUGGGAGCUUCUGGAGCUGUGCUGUCCAACAAUAGGCAUUAGCCAUAUGUGGCUAUUGAGCUCUUGAAAUACAAUUAAUCUGAAUCAAGAUGUGCUGUAAGUGUAAAAUAUACCCCAAAGGCUGAAGACUGUAAAAUAUCUCAUUAAUAAUUUUAUACUAAUUAUAUGCUGAAAUGUUAGUAUCUUGGAUAUAUUGGGUUAAGGAAAAUAUUUUAUGAAAAUUGUCUUCACCUCUUUAUUUAUUUAUUUAUUUUUAUUUUUUCAAUAUAUGAAGUUUAUUGUCAAAUUGGUUUCCAUACAACACCCAGUGCUCAUCCCAAAAGGUGCCCUCCUCAAUACCCAUCACCCACCCUCCCCUCCCUCCCACCCCCCAUCAACCCUCAGUUUGUUCUCAGUUUUUAAGAGUCUCUUAUGCUUUGGCUCUCUCGCACUCUAACUUUUUUUUUUUUUCCUUCCCCUCCCCCAUGGGUUUCUGUUAAGUUUCUCAGGAUCCACAUAAGAGUGAAACCAUAUGGUAUCUGUCUUUCUCUGUAUGGCUUACUUCACUUAGCAUCACACUCUCCAGUUCCAUCCAUGUUGCUACAAAGGGCCGUAUUUCAUUCUUUCUCAUUGCCACGUAGUACUCCAUUGUGUAUAUAAACCACAAUUUCUUUAUCCAUUCAUCAGUUGAUGGACAUUUAGGCUUUUUCCACAAUUUGGCUAUUGUUGAGAGUGCUGCUAUAAACAUUGGGGUACAAGUGCCCCUAUGCAACAGUACUCCUGUAUCCCUUGGAUAAAUUCCUAGCAGUGCUAUUGCUGGGUCAUAGGGUAGGUCUAUUUUUAAUUUUUUGAGGAACCUCCACACUGUUUUCCAGAGUGGCUGCACCAAUUUGCAUUCUCACCAACAGUGCAAGAGGGUUCCUGUUUCUCCACAUCCUCGCCAGCAUCUAUAGCCUCCUGGUUUGUUCAUUUUGGCCACUCUGACUGGCGUGAGUUCACCUCUUUUUUUUAAUGUGGCUACUUAAGAUUCUAUACAUGGUUUAGAAAACUUAAGAUUCUAUACAUGGCUCGCAUUAUAUUUCUAUGGACAGCUGUGCUGGAGAACAGGCCUGUGGCCCCGCGACUAGAAGGAAAGCUCCCAGAGGGCAGGAGCUGUGUCUCUUCUUGCUCUGUGGCAAGUCCCUGUGACCAACCCCUUGGAGGUGGGUGCGUGUCAGGACUGGCUGUGGAGAGCCUUUCCAGGGCUCACACUGGGGCUGCAUUCCACUACAUAAGGUCAUUGUAUGAAUGGUCCUAUCGUUAAGGCGUCUGUGCUCAUAGAGGAUGUUGUAUGUUUCCUGGCCUGGUGACCAAACAGGCAACCAGACGAGAGAGCAUAUUCAUCUAUUCUCCAUGCAAGUAUUUCUCUCUGGAAGUAGUGCUCAGGAUGUUGAUACUGGGUUCAAAUAUCACAAGGCUACAUUUACCCAGUACCUACUAUUUUCCAAUGCUGCACUGAUCCUUACACAGCUCUGUGGGGUAGCUGUUAAUUCCAGUGUACAGAAAAGGAAAUAAGGCUCCAAAAGGAGAAAUUCCCCAUAGUUAGAAAUGAGUGGAACUAAAUUCCAAGACCAUUUAACAACGCUGCCUUCUGAGUCUGACCACUAGGGGGUCAAGAGUCUUCACAUAUGAAUUGUACUCUUAAUUCCAGGACCUCUGAUCUUUCCAAGUAAGAAGCCUAGCACAGAGCUGGUGAGAAGGCAGGUGGCUGCUAGAUCCCCUUUGUAAGAAUUCCCAUUCCCACCAGGCCCAUGAUCUAUAGGGUGGUCCUAAGCCACAGCUGAAAUGGCCCUUUGAUGCAGAAGCAGAAUGCAUACACGGCCAUUCACAUUUAAAGACACUGCAGCUUUUAGGCCAUUCUCUAUCUCCUAGGAUUAGAACCUAAAAUGUCUCAAGUGGUCUGAGCCUAAGUCUUCCCAAAUUAAAACCAAAUGGGAGGGGACAGGAUUGAGAGCCUUAGUCUUCUCUCCUUCCUCUGUAGCUCUCCUGUCUUGUUUCCUUUCUGUUGCCCACAUCUCAAUUAUGCAGGAAAAAAUUUUAGUAGAUCAUCAGCUCUAACUUCCUCAAAAGUGGGAGUUGAAAAAAAAGUUUCAUAUUACUUGGGUUUUAGGUACCUCCUCUGCGUGCCUAACCAACUCCAUUCCUUUAAAAUGGAUCACAGAAAACAAAGGCUAGCCCAGGAUAUAGAGAUCACUGAAUUUAAACCCUUUAUUCUGUAGGAACAGAGGUCCAGAGGUUUAAAGUCACACAUAUGAUUGGUGAAAGCUGGGACCAGAACCUUGGAUCUCUGACUCAUAAUUCCCCAUUUCCCCGGCAAUAAACAGAAAGUCAGAAAAGGAGUAUUAUAGACUGAACUUUUGUGUCUACCCAAAUUCAUAUGUUGAAGUCCUACCCCUCAGUGUGACUGUAUUUGGAGAAUGGGCCACAGAGGUGAUAAAGGUUCAAUGAGGUCAUAAGGGUGGGGCCCUAAUCCAGUAGAGCUGUUGCCCUUAUAAGAAGAGGAAGAGACACUGGUGCUCUCUCUCUGCCAUAUGAGGACACAAUGGCCAUCUGCAAGCUAGGAAGAGAGCUCUCAUCAGAAACCAAACACACCCUCCAGAACUAGAUCUCAAGCUGAGAAGAUGCAAGCCUGAAGCUAUCUACAGCUAUCCUCUUCUCCCGUCCCCGCUCCUGUGUUCUUGCCCCCACCCAAGAGGAGGAAGUCACCUGCUGAAUAAGACAUUACACGCACAGUGAAGAAAAGAGAUGGAGACCUUGCCUGACUGAACUGUGUUGGACUCAGGAUUCACUCAGUUGUAUAAGACAACUGAUCUCUUUUGCUUAGCCCAGGUAGAGGUGGUUUCUGUCACUUGCAAACAAGAGUCCUAAUUUGGGAAGGCAUACUGUCUCUGGAAUCAGACACAUCUGUGUAUGAAUGCUGUCUGCACCGAUUACCAGUUGCCUAACCUGGGCCAAGUUAUUUAACUUACAUGGCCCUCAGUUUACACAGCUGUACAAUGGGAUGAUACCAGUAUCCACUUGCAUGGAAAAGUUAAUGAUCAAAUGAGAUAAGCACAUUAUUAAGAAAGUCUACAAGUUAGAUCUCUCUCUUCUCCUCAGAGUAAAUAAUUCUUCAUAGUAAGGUACCCCAGAACCCAUUCAGCUCCCAGCUUUAUUGACAGUGUGAAAAUGCCCUAAGAAACAUGCAUACUUGUAAACCUCCAGGCUUGCUGGGCUUCGUCCUGUACAACUCACAUCCUUAAAGACACCCUCAAGGUGUUACACUCUCAAUUAGGUAAAAACCUAAUACUUUGAGAACAGCUUCUGCUUUAGUUGAAUGGACUUAUUAUAUUUACUUGAGAAGCGAUCACUGUUCUUAUGUAGCAUCACAGAGCACAUCUCACAACAAACACGCAGUCUGUACUUUUCACUGCACCACCAUUCCACUCCUGUAACACCACGUGGACCCUGGAGACAGAGAUUAUCCCCUGAUUUCUGCCUCACUGACUAAUGCAGGCCUGGAAUUUCAAGGGCAUGGGUGAGUGUCAGAAAGGAAAUAAAUCUGGGGUAAUAAAUCUGGAGUUUCUAGCCAGUCGUGGCUGGACCUGGAAGGAGAGACAGACAUACCUCACUGGCAGAACAGAUGCAUCUCGGGACUGCUCCCCAAACAAUACGCAGACCAUUUGGCAAUGCCUCCUUGCCCCUCAAAGAGCAG